CUUAGGCGUGUGACUGCGUACCUUUUGUAUAAUGGGUCAGCGACUUAUAUUCUGUAGCAAGGUUAACCGAAUAGGGGAGCCGAAGGGAAACCGAGUCUUAACUGGGCGUUAAGUUGCAGGGUAUAGACCCGAAACCCGGUGAUCUAGCCAUGGGCAGGUUGAAGGUUGGGUAACACUAACUGGAGGACCGAACCGACUAAUGUUGAAAAAUUAGCGGAUGACUUGUGGCUGGGGGUGAAAGGCCAAUCAAACCGGGAGAUAGCUGGUUCUCCCCGAAAGCUAUUUAGGUAGCGCCUCGUGAAUUCAUCUCCGGGGGUAGAGCACUGUUUCGGCAAGGGGGUCAUCCCGACUUACCAACCCGAUGCAAACUGCGAAUACCGGAGAAUGUUAUCACGGGAGACACACGGCGGGUGCUAACGUCCGUCGUGAAGAGGGAAACAACCCAGACCGCCAGCUAAGGUCCCAAAGUCAUGGUUAAGUGGGAAACGAUGUGGGAAGGCCCAGACAGCCAGGAUGUUGGCUUAGAAGCAGCCAUCAUUUAAAGAAAGCGUAAUAGCUCACUGGUCGAGUCGGCCUGCGCGGAAGAUGUAACGGGGCUAAACCAUGCACCGAAGCUGCGGCAGCGACGCUUAUGCGUUGUUGGGUAGGGGAGCGUUCUGUAAGCCUGUGAAGGUGUACUGUGAGGUAUGCUGGAGGUAUCAGAAGUGCGAAUGCUGACAUAAGUAACGAUAAAGCGGGUGAAAAGCCCGCUCGCCGGAAGACCAAGGGUUCCUGUCCAACGUUAAUCGGGGCAGGGUGAGUCGACCCCUAAGGCGAGGCCGAAAGGCGUAGUCGAUGGGAAACAGGUUAAUAUUCCUGUACUUGGUGUUACUGCGAAGGGGGGACGGAGAAGGCUAUGUUGGCCGGGCGACGGUUGUCCCGGUUUAAGCGUGUAGGCUGGUUUUCCAGGCAAAUCCGGAAAAUCAAGGCUGAGGCGUGAUGACGAGGCACUACGGUGCUGAAGCAACAAAUGCCCUGCUUCCAGGAAAAGCCUCUAAGCAUCAGGUAACAUCAAAUCGUACCCCAAACCGACACAGGUGGUCAGGUAGAGAAUACCAAGGCGCUUGAGAGAACUCGGGUGAAGGAACUAGGCAAAAUGGUGCCGUAACUUCGGGAGAAGGCACGCUGAUAUGUAGGUGAAGUCCCUCGCGGAUGGAGCUGAAAUCAGUCGAAGAUACCAGCUGGCUGCAACUGUUUAUUAAAAACACAGCACUGUGCAAACACGAAAGUGGACGUAUACGGUGUGACGCCUGCCCGGUGCCGGAAGGUUAAUUGAUGGGGU
rnacentral:rRNA from 1 species